GAGCAGAGGGCGGAGCAUGUUCCUGAGUCACUGUGCAGACUUUGGGUUUUAUUCCAAAUGGAUGGGACGGGAUAUUUUGAGCAGAAGAGCUGCGUUGCCCAGAAGGACUGGUUGGCUGGUGGAUAAAGAAGCUCCUCAUUCUCUACGAACAGGUCAAGCAGCCCUCCUUGGCCAUGACGACGUUCCAGUGGAGGGACCUCUGUCCCCCCGAGGCCCUUCUUGCCACGACGUGACACCUUCUCUCCUUCGACCAACUUUUUACUGCAACAGAGUUGAUUUCAACGUGAUGGUCAUUUCUGCUGGCGACUGAGGGACUCCGCGACGCACAUGCCCACGCCUAUUCUCGUCCAGAGUCUUUUCCCACGGGCUGUGUCGGAGAACCCUGAGUCGUCGUCCCUGCGCUGCACAGCAGGGGUCAAAUCAGAGCUGCAGCUGCCGCCAUGGCUCAUGGCA